AUGCAAGUUAGGGAGUGGAGUCCUGUUACCUUCCAGCAUGCUGAGCACGUGAGCAGCUCCUACGAAAGACCAAGACUAUAAUUGAGGCAGGACUGAAAAAUGCACCACCCACAAGAUCUUCAUAGAAAUGAAAGAAUCUAUGAAAAUCGGUGGCUCGCAAGAUAAAUGCAGACUGGUCAACUGGACAUCUCACUAAAGGAUGAGGGCAGAGAACUGGGGUGAAGGGGAGGAUCGUCGCUUUGCAUUUACAGUUACGUCACUCACACAGACACAGCUGCUGGUUGCUCAGAUGUCUCACUGCGGUUCAACACCAAUGACAGAGCUGAGUGCUAGAGGAGCACCUGAUGAAUGAUCAGCAGGGCUUGUUGCUAAGAAGAAGUUUAACUGAAGUCCAAGAAAUAAAUGCUGAAGGCA